rnacentral:lncRNA from 1 species
GUUUCUGAUCGCCUCUACGUGGGUGGUUAUCCAGGUGAACAUAAAUUACCUGACGUCUCAAAUAUGGGUUUCGAUGGGUGUGUCGACAAUGUGCAAAUAAUGAGCAUUAGUGUAGAUCUUAGUAAAAACAUCAAUGCUCUUGAUGUAGUCCCUGGCUGUCCCAAAAAGCAUCACGCAAAAGACUAACCCAAUUAGGCUCAUCAAUGGUAAUCUAUACUUCGGAGCUACACCACCCACUACAGACACAUCAACAAUAGGUACAACAUAUCCUUUCUCUGGCUGCAUCAGUGAUGUCACUAUCAAAGGAGAAAUAGUCAACUUUGCCAAGGCCAAAGCAAAUAAUGUUGUUAUUGGGACGUGCAUUCACGGAGAAGGCUCACAUGUCAGACCACCCUUGAGUAAGUUCCUUGAGUUCUUUGUCUAGUUAUUGCUAAAAAUCGAAAUGAUGCGUUAGUUGACAAGAAUUUCUCAGUUUUCGAUCACAGAUGGUGUUAGUUGUUGAAUGAAAUCAACAACAGAAAAAUGGAUAUUAAUGAAUCUUAACUGCACCAAUGAAAAAAAUUAUAACGUUUUUCUCGCGAGCAUAUAAGUAUAGAGAAAUGAGAAACAACUUAAUGGGCCCAAAACGAUAAUACAAAAUCAACAACUUUAAAAGGGACUGAGGCUGACUAAGGGACAGUUAUCGCACCUAAAAAAAAGGUAAUACAAAAAAGAAAAUAAACAAAAACUCUUAACUUAUACUGAACCUCGUUGCUGUUAUUGUGAGACACAAGUUUAGAGCUAAUUUCAACUCAUGAAUUCAUUCUACAAAACAUUCUGUUUCAUUCUAUUCAUUUGCUCUUUCAAACUGGAGCGGAACGUUAACAAUAACACAGGUAAUCUCUUUCAAUGCUAGAGCAGAUUUUUUAUGACAUAGCAAAAGCUAUUAAGCUUUUACACUAUCAUAUGCUCUUAAUAAAUUGAAUUUUUUCCAGAACCAGUAACGUUUGAGGAUGAAGAAGGUCGGUUCGUGCGCUCUCCCAUUUACUUCUCUAAAGGAUCCAAAUGUUACAUACGAAAGUGGCCACUGGUUCGGUACGACAAACGGCAGUCGAAUUGAGUAUCCAUCGCUUGCCCCUAAACUCAAAAGCAAAUUUGAUGUGUCAAUUCAAUUCAAGACCAUCUCUCAGUACGGAACCAUCCUUUGCGCUGCUAAUGAGCUACACACCGAGUGUGUGGCUGUGUACUUGGUUGAUGGGAAGAUUCGCUUCGGAUUCAGUGGCAGCGCUCAAUCAGCUCCUCUGGAGUCAUCAGAAACAUACAACGACGGCGAGUGA